ensembl:snoRNA
UAGCCCUGGAUCAAGGCCAGCAGCUUCCUGACGCUGGUGGCUUCAAGCAGGAGACUAAAGAGAUGUCUUUCUGUGGUCUGUUGAUCAUUUCAGAUCUUGGGUAGUGAAAAGGUCAAUACAUUAGAAAAAAACAGCU